ACUGAGGCAGGAAAUGGGGACAGGAAAAUUCACUCGCUGGGAAAUCCAAAGAGGACGUACUCAGGAUGAAAUUAAUAGCAUCAUGCUGGCGAUGAUGAUGAAUACAGCAUUGAAGUUUGAGGCGUAUCAAAGCUUGAAAGCAUUUUCAUGGCAUACAGAUAGUGGAUUUAGUGGUGAAGAUUUGGUUUCAGAUCUUUUUGGUUUUUAUCGUUUUAUGAUCCCGGGGAAAUACAGUAGUUUGGUUCGUCCCGUCAGUUAUAAUGAUGCGGUUAGUCGCUGGGAUUUUUACGGACCUGUUGGCAGUUUUAAAAAUGAUGGGUUUCGACCCAUUCUGUUUCCUGAUCCGAAGGAUCCCUGUGUCAAACAUAAACCUUAUAAGGUAAAUUUGCCACAUUUUAUGACAUGGAUCCAACCGUGGAGUGAUUUUACAUCGGGUAAGAUAAGAAUCAUAACUAAUGAUGGAACAUCAUUUUCUUUUUUACCCAUAUAGGAUGUAUAUAAACAUGCAAGGGAUGAGACUUUUCAGACGUCUUUUUUUAUGGUUUAUCCUUGCCGUAUUUUCUAUGCUUUUUAUCGCUUGUAUUUUUAUAUAUAUGAUUUCAUCAGGAAUGAAUGAUGGUGGAGUUUAUACGGAAAAUGAUUUUUUAAAAUACCACAUGCUUACUGAUCCUGACAUAUUAAAUAGUCCUAAAGUAUCUGAGAAAUAUUAUUUUGAAUACCAUCCAGGUGAUGGUUAUCCACUUUCAAACUCCAUAGUAUUUAGUGGGGGGACAGAUGUGGAGCCUUUGAAAAGAUAUCUCUCAGAACUGGGGUAUAAAUUACAUAAGCGCAUUCUCAAUAAGAAUGAAAUUGUAUGGGAGAGUCGUUGUUCGAUAAAUCAGUCAUCAUCGUUUUAUCUUUCAGUUAACUAUACAGAAAAUAGUGUUCAGCUUGAAAAAGAAAUUUGUUAUUAGCAGAUGACUACAUUCUUCAGAAGGAUCCAUUAUGAGUUUUGUAUCCACGGGUAAUAAAACUGUCGGGAGCGAUGGGCCAGCUAUCACUACGCCGCCAAUUGUCGGAGAAAAUAACGGUGUUAGUUCAGGUGCCGCCGUAGCCAGCGUUACUGACGCAGCCGAACAAAUGGCAGAACAGGCAGUGGAAUUGUUGUUUGGCGAGUUGCCGGAACCAUCAGGACUGGUAAAAGCCGCGGUGGCAGCGGCGCAGGCCGCCGCUGUGGCGGCAGGGAUAUCGGAUAUAGCUGGUGCCGCACAGGACGUAAUGUCAUCUCUUAUCUCCGGACCGGGAGUGCAUAACGUUACGGUAAGCGGCAGUGCCGUGCCGCUGCAGAUGUUGUUGUUUGCCAGCCUUAAUGGCUCGGAAACACUGGGAGCCUUGUUUACUUAUGUGGUACAGCUAAAAACGCCCGACACCCUGAAUCUGGGCUAUGUCUCCCCGGCGGCCAACCUGCCGCUCAAACCGGAGCUGAAGUCAGUCGAAGAUACCAGCUGGCUGCAACUGUUUAUUAAAAACACAGCACUGUGCAAACACGAAAGUGGACGUAUACGGUGUGACGCCUGCCCGGUGCCGGAAGGUUAAUUGAUGGGGUCAGCGCAAGCGAAGCUCCUGAUCGAAGCCCCGGUAAACGGCGGCCGUAACUAUAACGGUCCUAAGGUAGCGAAAUUCCUUGUCGGGUAAGUUCCGACCUGCACGAAUGGCGUAAUGAUGGCCAGGCUGUCUCCACCCGAGACUCAGUGAAAUUGAACUCGCUGUGAAGAUGCAGUGUACCCGCGGCAAGACGGAAAGACCCCGUGAACCUUUACUAUAGCUUGACACUGAACAUUGAGCCUUGAUGUGUAGGAUAGGUGGGAGGCUUUGAAGUGUGGACGCCAGUCUGCAUGGAGCCGACCUUGAAAUACCACCCUUUAAUGUUUGAUGUUCUAACGUGGACCCGUAAUCCGGGUUGCGGACAGUGUCUGGUGGGUAGUUUGACUGGGGCGGUCUCCUCCUAAAGAGUAACGGAGGAGCACGAAGGUUGGCUAAUCCUGGUCGGACAUCAGGAGGUUAGUGCAAUGGCAUAAGCCAGCUUGACUGCGAGCGUGACGGCGCGAGCAGGUGCGAAAGCAGGUCAUAGUGAUCCGGUGGUUCUGAAUGGAAGGGCCAUCGCUCAACGGAUAAAAGGUACUCCGGGGAUAACAGGCUGAUACCGCCCAAGAGUUCAUAUCGACGGCGGUGUUUGGCACCUCGAUGUCGGCUCAUCACAUCCUGGGGCUGAAGUAGGUCCCAAGGGUAUGGCUGUUCGCCAUUUAAAGUGGUACGCGAGCUGGGUUUAGAACGUCGUGAGACAGUUCGGUCCCUAUCUGCCGUGGGCGCUGGAGAACUGAGGGGGGCUGCUCCUAGUACGAGAGGACCGGAGUGGACGCAUCACUGGUGUUCGGGUUGUCAUGCCAAUGGCACUGCCCGGUAGCUAAAUGCGGAAGAGAUAAGUGCUGAAAGCAUCUAAGCACGAAACUUGCCCCGAGAUGAGUUCUCCCUGAGACUUAGAGUCUCCUGAAGGAACGUUGAAGACGACGACGUUGAUAGGCCGGGUGUGUAAGCGCAGCGAUGCGUUGAGCUAACCGGUACUAAUGAACCGUGAGGCUUAACC
rnacentral:rRNA from 1 species